ensembl:lncRNA
CCCGCACCGCCCGAAUCCCGAAGCGCUGGGAACCCGAGCCCGCGAGCCGGUCUGAGCGGUGGUGCUGACCCCGCCUUCUAUGAGAACUCCGAGUCGGGACCGGACGGCGCGGCCGGAUCCCCGCGCCUCAUCGGAAUUUGACCCUCGGAGCUCCGAGGGGACCCCUCUCUUUGCGGCCGGCCUCGAUCGGCUUCUCAGCACCCCGGCCCUGGCCCUAGCUCGGGAGAGCCGCCGUCUCUUUGUCCCUGCCUUUCCUCUCUCCGUUUGUCUUCCAGCUCAGAGAAGCUGCGACCUCAGCGGCAUUAAUAUUUCAGGAUCAUGCAUGACACUGGAAGCCAGCAGUGAUGGAGCCACCUCAGAGGUUUCUAAGCCCGAAAAAGACAUGGAGCCAGAUGCAGAGGCUCUCGAAUCCGAGAACCGGGUGCUGAGGAGAGCUCCUUGGGCAGGUCACAGGUCUGGCCUGGCUCCCCGGGGGAAUGACGACGGAGUGCUCAGCUUGUGAGAAGAGGCGAGUCCUUUGAACGGAGAGCCCCGUCGGAGAGCAACCCCCCUACACACACACACAAUGGCCUCGGUCGCAGAUCGAGAGGGAGUCGGUACACGAGAUCGACGCCGGGGAGACGGCGCUGGCGGAGGGACUGCGCAGUGGCGUCCCCGGAGCGCGGCAAGAGGGUGGCCCGGCUGCUAGAGCACUUCUGUUCGCAGCUGGUAAGAGACAGCACCCGGGGGAUCAAAGUGGCACGACUCACCAGGGACAAUCAGUUGGGGCCCCAGGGGCUGAAGAAAUUCCGCCUAAUCACCAAGCAGAACAAAGGAGCUCGGAGGGCCGGGCCGGGCCUCUCCUCAAGGGCCUCCGGGCUUUGUCCCCUCUCCUGCAGUCUGUCACCGCCUUUCUUUCGCGGCCCGCUCUGCCCAGUGGAGGCGCCUAUGAGCCCUGCCCUGGGAAUCCCAGUCCUUACCCAGGCCUUGCUGCCCAGGGAAAAUCAAACAGCUUCCACUUCCAAUCUUUAAACCCUUGAUCCUUACCCUGGGAGGCUGGAGCCCAGGCGUCCAGGCUUCGUGACCCUGCCUCCCCUACAUGGGUCCCGCCUCGGUCUAGGGACCGAAGCAUCCUAAUCUGAGCCUUUGUCCUUUACCUCCGCCUCCCCCAUCCUACCGCGAUCA